UGCUGGGGGAGCUCUGAGUGCUGGGGAACACGGUACAGGAGAGAAGCUAUGCAAACUGCAGGAGCCAAGCACUGGGGAUCAGCAGGAGGCAAACGCUGGUAAUGAGGGCACCUUGUGACCAGGGAGAGAACACUGUCUCUUCCUCACUGUCUGCUCCGUUCUCUCUGCUGACAACACUGAGCAUCGCCUCAGCCUGUGAAGCCACAUUCACACAGUCCACCUCUCCGGCCACAGAAGAGGAAGAGGUGAGUACAUUUGAAGCUGAGGGGCAAGGAAUUGACCACUGGCACCAGCAGAGAUGUUUGUAGGAAUGGAGAGCAAAGAAAACAGAAAAUCAGUGAGCAAAAACAGUGAUCACAUUUACAGAUGCAAGAAGGAAUUUGUUUGAAGCAGACUGUAAUUUCUAAGGAUGAUGUAAGGGAAAUAAAUACUAAAGCCAAGCAGGAUAACAUUUAUUCCAACUGUUCAGAUAUUUUAUUUUGCAUCAAGAAAGUAGAAAAUGAAAACUUACAUAUUAUUC
ensembl:lncRNA